AUGGAUAGAUCAUCGUAUUUUUCCUUUCUAUGGUCACUCCUGGUACCACUGACCAUCUGUGAAGAGAGAGCCUGCCUUAUUAUGCUGCUGUUGUGUGUGGCUGUCAAAUUUAUUGCCAGAUACUCAGAGCAGCAUCCCUGGCGUCUGCUCAUCGCAUUACAGUAUCUCCCCCAAAAUGUGGCAGUCAAAAAUGUCUUCAGACCUUGUCAGAUGUCCUCGGUGGGGCACACUUUCGACAGUUGAGAACUACUGUGUCAGUUUAAAGAUUUUCUGAGGAUGAAA
rnacentral:lncRNA from 1 species